UUAAGCGACUAAGCGUACACGGUGGAUGCCCUGGCAGUCAGAGGCGAUGAAGGACGUGCUAAUCUGCGAAAAGCGCCGGCGAGGUGAUAUGAACCUUUGACCCGGCGAUGUCCGAAUGGGGAAACCCAGUGCAAUCCGUUGCACUAUCGUUAACUGAAUACAUAGGUUAACGAGGCGAACCGGGGGAACUGAAACAUCUAAGUACCCCGAGGAAAAGAAAUCAACCGAGAUUCCCCCAGUAGCGGCGAGCGAACGGGGAGCAGCCCGGAGUCUGAAUCAGCUUGUGUGUUAGUGGAACGGUCUGGAAAGUCCGACGGUACAGGGUGAUAGUCCCGUACACGAAAGCACACAUGCUGUGAACUCGAAGAGUAGGGCGGGACACGUGGUAUCCUGUCUGAAUAUGGGGGGACCAUCCUCCAAGGCUAAAUACUCCUGACUGACCGAUAGUGAACCAGUACCGUGAGGGAAAGGCGAAAAGAACCCCGGCGAGGGGAGUGAAAAAGAACCUGAAACCGUGUACGUACAAGCAGUGGGAGCCUCUUUAUGGGGUGACUGCGUACCUUUUGUAUAAUGGGUCAGCGACUUAUAUUCUGUAGCAAGGUUAACCGUAUAGGGGAGCCGAAGGGAAACCGAGUCUUAACUGGGCGUUAAGUUGCAGGGUAUAGACCCGAAACCCGGUGAUCUAGCCAUGGGCAGGUUGAAGGUUGGGUAACACUAACUGGAGGACCGAACCGACUAAUGUUGAAAAAUUAGCGGAUGACCUGUGGCUGGGGGUGAAAGGCCAAUCAAACCGGGAGAUAGCUGGUUCUCCCCGAAAGCUAUUUAGGUAGCGCCUCGUGAACUCAUCUUCGGGGGUAGAGCACUGUUUCGGCUAGGGGGCCAUCCCGGCUUACCAACCCGAUGCAAACUACGAAUACCGAAGAAUGUUAUCACGGGAGACACACGGCGGGUGCUAACGUCCGUCGUGAAGAGGGAAACAACCCAGACCGCCAGCUAAGGUCCCAAAGUCAUGGUUAAGUGGGAAACGAUGUGGGAAGGCACAGACAGCCAGGAUGUUGGCUUAGAAGCAGCCAUCAUUUAAAGAAAGCGUAAUAGCUCACUGGUCGAGUCGGCCUGCGCGGAAGAUGUAACGGGGCUAAACCAUGCACCGAAGCUGCGGCAGCGACNGAAGGUGUCCUGUGAGGGGUGCUGGAGGUAUCAGAAGUGCGAAUGCUGACAUAAGUAACGAUAAAGCGGGUGAAAAGCCCGCUCGCCGGAAGACCAAGGGUUCCUGUCCAACGUUAAUCGGGGCAGGGUGAGUCGACCCCUAAGGCGAGGCCGAAAGGCGUAGUCGAUGGGAAACAGGUUAAUAUUCCUGUACUUGGUGUUACUGCGAAGGGGGGACGGAGAAGGCUAUGUCAGCCGGGCGACGGUUGUCCCGGUUUAAGCAUGUAGGCGGAGGUUCCAGGUAAAUCCGGUACCUUAUUAACGCUGAGGUGUGAUGACGAGGCACUACGGUGCUGAAGUGAUAAAUGCCCUGCUUCCAGGAAAAGCCUCUAAGCAUCAGGUAACACGAAAUCGUACCCCAAACCGACACAGGUGGUCAGGUAGAGAAUACCAAGGCGCUUGAGAGAACUCGGGUGAAGGAACUAGGCAAAAUGGUGCCGUAACUUCGGGAGAAGGCACGCUGAUAUGUAGGUGAAGUCCCUGCGGACGGAGCUGAAAUCAGUCGAAGAUACCAGCUGGCUGCAACUGUUUAUUAAAAACACAGCACUGUGCAAACACGAAAGUGGACGUAUACGGUGUGACGCCUGCCCGGUGCCGGAAGGUUAAUUGAUGGGGUUAGCGGCAACGCGAAGCUCUUGAUCGAAGCCCCGGUAAACGGCGGCCGUAACUAUAACGGUCCUAAGGUAGCGAAAUUCCUUGUCGGGUAAGUUCCGACCUGCACGAAUGGCGUAAUGAUGGCCAGGCUGUCUCCACCCGAGACUCAGUGAAAUUGAACUCGCUGUGAAGAUGCAGUGUACCCGCGGCAAGACGGAAAGACCCCGUGAACCUUUACUAUAGCUUGACACUGAACACUGGUCCUUGAUGUGUAGGAUAGGUGGGAGGCUUUGAAGCGUGGACGCCAGUCUGCGUGGAGCCAACCUUGAAAUACCACCCUUUAAUGGCUGGUGUUCUAACGUAGACCCGUAAUCCGGGUUGCGGACAGUGUCUGGUGGGUAGUUUGACUGGGGCGGUCUCCUCCCAAAGAGUAACGGAGGAGCACGAAGGUUGGCUAAUCCUGGUCGGACAUCAGGAGGUUAGUGCAAUGGCAUAAGCCAGCUUGACUGCGAGCGUGACGGCGCGAGCAGGUGCGAAAGCAGGUCAUAGUGAUCCGGUGGUUCUGAAUGGAAGGGCCAUCGCUCAACGGAUAAAAGGUACUCCGGGGAUAACAGGCUGAUACCGCCCAAGAGUUCAUAUCGACGGCGGUGUUUGGCACCUCGAUGUCGGCUCAUCACAUCCUGGGGCUGAAGUAGGUCCCAAGGGUAUGGCUGUUCGCCAUUUAAAGUGGUACGCGAGCUGGGUUUAGAACGUCGUGAGACAGUUCGGUCCCUAUCUGCCGUGGGCGCUGGAGAAUUGAGGGGGGCUGCUCCUAGUACGAGAGGACCGGAGUGGACGCAUCACUGGUGUUCGGGUUGUCAUGCCAAUGGCACUGCCCGGUAGCUAAAUGCGGAAGAGAUAAGUGCUGAAAGCAUCUAAGCACGAAACUUGCCCCGAGAUGAGUUCUCCCUGAGAC
rnacentral:rRNA from 1 species